rnacentral:lncRNA from 1 species
AUACUGGCUGGGGCACCACUGAUGAAAUAUUCUUGGAAGUAAUUCAUGUAUAAUUCUGUUUACUUCGGCAGAAUUUGGAUUUAACAAAAAGAAAGAUGAUUCAUGAAGGGCCGUUGGUCUGGAAGGUGAAUAGAGAUAAAAGCAUCGAUCUGUAUACACUGCUGCUGGAAGACAUUCUUGUGCUGUUACAGAAGCAGGACGACAGGCUGGUACUGAGGUGCCACAGCAAGAUCCUGGCCUCCACAGCUGACAGCAAGCACACCUUCAGUCCUGUCAUUAAGCUCAGCACAGUGCUGGUCCGACAGGUGGCCACAGGUGAGCGCGGCUGCCGCUAGAUGCGAGCUCUGCCACGGGAUGCGAGCUCAGCUGUGGAUUCAGUGCGAAGCUGUGCAGGAAUUUCACCCAUGGUUUUGUUUAUACGUGGAAAUGUGAAUGGAAUUGUCUAUUGGAAGUUUACACCUCCAAAUUAUUUGAGACAGCAAGGUUGCCUCACUGGUUUUCUGCAUUUAAAAGUUUAAGUACAUCAAUU